CUUCCCUGUCAGCUUCCCAUUGACUUCACUUGUAGGAAGUUGUCUAGAAAGGUUGCCAAUGGCAAUCAUGUGACAUGGCUUGCUGUGAUGUCAUAAUCACCUGCCAGGAAUCCAAAUGCUUGGCUCACAGUCACAUGACUGUGGGGAUGCUGGGAUAGUUAGAACUUUGGGGACCAGUCGGAACUUCAUUGUUUUUUUUUUAUAGCUGGCAAAACUUGAACAAUCUCUGAAUGAAUAGAUGUAAACCGAGGACUAUCUCUAAUUUUUUUUUUAAAGCAACCUUGACCAGUAGCCCUGCAACAGGGCAUUCAUUAUAAUUAUUGCUUAUCAUAUAGAGUAUUAAUGGUUUAAAACCCACCAGAUUUUUUUUAAAGUUACUAUUUCUCUUUUCCUAAAAUACUUACUAAUGCACUGGGGUUACCAGGGUUUUUUUUUUAUUAUUAUUUAGUAAUCCCAAUGAUGCAAUUUAAUCAACAGACUGACUGAUGAAAAAAUGAUGAAACAGAGCACCACUAUACUUAUUCAUUUUUUAUUUUUUUUUAAAUGAGCUUUUUUAGUUUGGAAGUAUUGUUUUGUUUUUGACCAAUUUAGGAUGUUUGUUUUGUCUGCCUGUCUAUAUCUGUCUAUAAGUACAAAGCCAACUGGAUGGCCUUGAGCCAGUCACUCUCCCUCAGCCUUAGGAAGCAGGCAAUGCCAAACCACUUCUGAAAUCUCGCCAGGAAACCUGUAGAGGCUUGUUAAAGCAGCAAGCAAAGCUACAGAAAGUGUCAAGUUCUGUGACCAUGAUACUUGGAAUACCACAUCCAUUUCUGGUCCCCACAAUAAAAAAAAAAUACUAAGAUUCUAGAAAGAAUACAGAGAAGAGCAACGAUAAGGGAUCUGGAGGCUAAAUCAUAUGAUGAAUGAUUAAGAAAACUGGAUAUGUCUAGUCUAAUGAAGAGAAGGACUAUGUCAGAAGCAAUUAGCCCCGUUACCUUCCUGGGGUAAUUGCCUGGAUCGUGGCAUUUCCUUGUGUAUACUUUUGAUAAAAUAAAACCGGAAUACAUCUUCUAAUAAACUCAUAUUUAUUGUAAAGAAAAUAAAACAUCUAACUAUCUAAAUAUUUAAUUGUUACAUUUUUGCAAAGUUCCUAUCGGCUACUUCUCAGUAGCCGGACUUCUCUUGGCAAGAGAACAAAGAAAAAAAAAAGUGAAGUGGAAAGAAAGGAAUGCGAAUACACGUAGUAUCAGU